rnacentral:snRNA from 1 species
GAUCUAUGGAGAGGCACAU